GAAUAUUGGACAAUGGGCGCAAGCCUGAACCAGCAACGCCGCGUGGGUGAUGAAGGUUUUCGGAUCGUAAAACCCUUUUCUGUGUGACGAGCAAGGACGGUAGCACAGGACUAAGCGUCGGCUAACUACGUGCCAGCAGCCGCGGUAAAACGUAGGACGCAAGCGUUAUCCGGAAUUACUGGGCGUAAAGCGCGGGUAGGUGGAGGCCAUAGUCUGUCGUGAAAGCUCCCGGCUAAACUGGGAGAGGUCGAUGGAAACUGGGCAUCUGGAGGGUGGCAGAGGGAUGUGGAAUUCCGCGUGUAGUGGUGAAAUGCGUAGAGAUGCGGAGGAACACCAGUGGCGAAGGCGGCAUCCUGGGCCACACCUGACACUGAGACGCGAAAGCAUGGGGAGCGAACGGG
rnacentral:rRNA from 1 species